UUCCCAUUCCUGUCCCCACCUAUGGGCUUUGUCCAGAGCCAGUUACUUUGUCCCUCUUUUUUUCUCCCUUUGCCUUUCUCGCCCUGCUGAGACUGGUCAUCCUUUUCCCAGGGCUCGGGUGCUUCUGGUUCCAGACAAUACCUUCCCCUUGGGCUAUUACCUCAUCCCUUUCACAGGGAUUGUGGGACUGCUGGUUUUGGCCAUGGGAGCAGUAAUGGUGAGUAGCUGAGGGAACAUGAUGGGAAGCACUGAGGCCUGUGAGGCCAGACUGGAUCUGGAGUUGGGAGAUGGGAGUGGCUUGUCCUAGAUUGUCUAGUUUUGUUCCUAAGCCUUGUCCAUCCACCCCCGCUUCCCCCAGAUAGCUCGUUGUAUCCAGCACCGGAAACGGCUCCAGCGGAAUCGACUUACCAAAGAGCAACUGAAACAGAUUCCUACACAUGACUAUCAGAAGGGAGACCAGUAUGAUGUCUGUGCCAUUUGCCUGGAUGAAUAUGAGGAUGGGGACAAGCUGCGGGUACUCCCCUGUGCUCAUGCCUACCACAGCCGCUGCGUGGACCCCUGGCUCACUCAGACCCGGAAGACCUGCCCCAUUUGCAAGCAGCCUGUUCAUCGGGGUCCU
rnacentral:lncRNA from 1 species